CAGCCGCCGCGGUAACACAGAGGAUGCAAGCGUUAUCCGGAAUUACUGGGCGUAAAGCGUGCGUAGGCGGUGAGUUAAGUCUGCUGUGAAAUCCCCGGGCUCAACCUGGGAAUGGCAGUGGAUACUGGCUCGCUAGAGUGUGUCAGAGGAUGGUGGAAUUCCCGGUGUAGCGGUGAAAUGCGUAGAGAUCGGGAGGAACAUCAGUGGCGAAGGCGGCCAUCUGGGACAACACUGACGCUGAGGCACGAAAGCGUGGGGAGCAAACAGGAUUAGAUACCCCCGUAGUCCCUGUCUCUUAUAC
rnacentral:rRNA from 1 species